rnacentral:rRNA from 1 species
AGAGUUUGAUCCUGGCUCAGGAUGAACGCUGGCGGCGUGCUUAACACAUGCAAGUCGAACGAACCUUCGGGUUAGUGGCGGACGGGUGAGUAACGCGUGAGAAUCUGCCCUCAGGAGGGGGAUAACGGCUGGAAACGGCCGCUAAUACCCCAUAUGCCGAGAGGUGAAAUGAGUAUUCACCUGAGGAUGAGCUCGCGUCUGAUUAGCUAGUUGGUGGGGUAAGAGCCUACCAAGGCAUCGAUCAGUAGCUGGUCUGAGAGGAUGAUCAGCCACACUGGGACUGAGACACGGCCCAGACUCCUACGGGAGGCAGCAGUGGGGAAUUUUCCGCAAUGGGCGAAAGCCUGACGGAGCAACGCCGCGUGAGGGAUGAAGGCCUCUGGGCUGUAAACCUCUUUUAUCAAGGAAGAAGAUCUGACGGUACUUGAUGAAUAAGCCACGGCUAAUUCCGUGCCAGCAGCCGCGGUAAUACGGGAGUGGCAAGCGUUAUCCGGAAUUAUUGGGCGUAAAGCGUCUGCAGGCGGCCUUAUAAGUCUGUUGUCAAAGCGUGGAGCUUAACUCCAUUUCGGCAAUGGAAACUGUGAGGCUUGAGUGUGGUAGGGGCAGAGGGAAUUCCCGGUGUAGCGGUGAAAUGCGUAGAUAUCGGGAAGAACACCAGUGGCGAAGGCGCUCUGCUGGGCCAUAACUGACGCUCAUGGACGAAAGCCAGGGGAGCGAAAGGGAUUAGAUACCCCUGUAGUCCUGGCCGUAAACGAUGAACACUAGGUGUCGGGGGAAUCGACCCCCUCGGUGUCGUAGCCAACGCGUUAAGUGUUCCGCCUGGGGAGUACGCACGCAAGUGUGAAACUCAAAGGAAUUGACGGGGGCCCGCACAAGCGGUGGAGUAUGUGGUUUAAUUCGAUGCAACGCGAAGAACCUUACCAGGGUUUGACAUCCUGCGAAUCCCUUGGAAACUUGGGAGUGCCUUCGGGAGCGCAGUGACAGGUGGUGCAUGGCUGUCGUCAGCUCGUGUCGUGAGAUGUUGGGUUAAGUCCCGCAACGAGCGCAACCCACGUCUUUAGUUGCCAGCAUUCAGUUGGGCACUCUAGAGAGACCGCCGGUGAUAAACCGGAGGAAGGUGUGGAUGACGUCAAGUCAUCAUGCCCCUUACAUCCUGGGCUACACACGUACUACAAUGCUACGGACAAAGGGCAGCAAACUCGCGAGAGCUAGCAAAUCCCAUAAACCGUGGCUCAGUUCAGAUCGUAGGCUGCAACUCGCCUACGUGAAGGAGGAAUCGCAAGUAAUCGCAGGUCAGCAUACUGCGGUGAAUACGUUCCCGGGCCUUGUACACACCGCCCGUCACACCAUGGAAGUUGGCCACGCCCGAAGCCGUUACUCCAACCCUUGUGGAGGAGGACGUCGAAGGUGGGGCUGAUGACUGGGGUGAAGUCGUAACAAGGUA